CAACGACAGUAGAUGAGUAGAACUCCAAAGAAAUAAGCUCACUUUUUAAGUAUUAUUAAAACUACCCGACAAUAGAACUCCAGUGCCCGGCAGUAGAACUCCACUAAACGACAAUAGAACUCCAACUAUUUUUAAAUUAUUUUCAUGGCCGACAGUAGAACUCCAUUGAAUUUUAAAUAUUUUAAAUGUCCGUCAAUAGAAUUCCAACGAUUUUAAAAUUACAUUCCUCUGUCAAUCAUAGCUGGCGGUUUAUUUUAGAAAGAGUUAUUAAAUAAAAACAGAAGCAGCUGUAGCCCCGCGUGAAGGUCAGCUACUCUACUUAGUUAACAUCAAUGACAAACGUGAACAAACGUGAAUAAAUGGUGAAAUUACUUAAUCGACCGCUAGAUGUCCUGAAUACUUAAUCGACCGCUAGAUGUCCUGAACUGGCAAUGCCUAUCAUGUUGCUGCCGGUAAUGCCUAAUGAGAUUGCCGCGUUAUUGAGUUAAUUCUCAAUUGGAUCUAUAUUCUUCUGGAGAAAUAAAAUCACAUAUUCCUAUAUGAGUGUAGACUGAAACUGUACAGUACCUGAUGUUGUUUCUUGCUAAAGUUGUUAUAAAGCAAGCAUGGUAUGCUACGUGAAAACCACAAGAAAAUUGUCUACCUUAAUAACCAUAUGCUGAAUGUUCCUUUUAAUCACAUCUUCCGCUGCAUAAUUGCAUCUUUGUAGCCUGACAGUUGUGGAAUCAUAUGCACAGUGCAGGUUCAUUCAUGCUGUGAAUGAUGAAUGCUUCUGUAUCAUGCAUAUUAGGGUGUACCUCCUACAGCAGAUGGAGGAUGUUUGGGAGGUAAAGUAAAGGGAAGAUAUUGACGACCCUACCUGACACUACAAAGCCAGAGCGUCAUGGUUGUUCUUCACUGCUGACCUGCAUAAACACCCAUCAAAAGUUCAUUCAUGCCGUUAAUGAUAGAUGCUUCUGUAUCAUGCAUAUUUCAGUGUGUGGAAGUAGUUGUGAAAUAUUAAGUACCAUACCCUGCACUUUCGCCUUACAUCAGGAAGAUUUUAUUAAGCAGCAACCUUCCUACAGCAGAUCGAGAUUGCAGAGAAGAAAUUGACGAUUCCAGCAAGAUUGUCUGAUUCAUCUUUGUACCGAUGUUUGGCGAGAAAAUUGACGACCCAACAAGAGCGAUACUGAGAGAGCGUCGUGGUUGUUCUUCAGAAGUGACCUGCAUCAACGCCUGUAAAAAAUUCUGGAAUCAGACUGAACGAGAUUUUGCUUCCGGAAGAAAAACUGCGAUAUCAGGGACCUACAGACUACAACACGUUCAACGCGGGUCAUCUAUUUCUGUUGUUGGUAAUAUGUUUUUGUUAGUUAAUCCGUUGGCUGCCACGCCUUUGUUCUCCCCUAGCUCCUUAGCACGGGCCGCGCUGUUCGGUCUCGUGGUUUACAUGC